rnacentral:rRNA from 2 species
UACGGAGGGUGCGAGCGUUGUCCGGAAUCACUGGGCGUAAAGGGCGCGUAGGUGGCUUAGCAAGCGUGUGGUGAAAGCCCGGGGCUUAACCCCGGGUCUGCCGUGCGAACUACUAUGGCUAGAGGACUGUAGAGGCAAGUUGAAUUCCGGGUGUAGCGGUGGAAUGCGUAGAGAUCCGGAAGAAUACCGGUGGCGAAGGCGGCUUGCUGGGCAGUUUCUGACACUGAGGCGCGACAGCGUGGGGAGCAAACAGG